GACGAACGCUGGCGGCGUGCUUCACACAUGCAAGUCGAACGAUGAAGCCGGAGCUUGCUCUGGUGAAUUAGUGGCGAACGGGUGAGUAACACGUGAGUAACCUGCCCUUGACUCAGGGAUAACUGCGGGAAACUGUAGCUAAUACUGGAUACGACCCUCGGAGGCAUCUCCUGGGGGUGGAAAGAAUUUCGGUCAAGGAUGGACUCGCGGCCUAUCAGCUAGUUGGUGAGGUAAAGGCUCACCAAGGCGACGACGGGUAGCCGGCCAGAGAGGGAGACCGACCACACUGGAACUGAGACACGGCCCCGACUCCUGCGGGAGGCAGCAGUGGGGAAUAUUGCGCAAAGGACGCGAGCCUGCUGCAGCAACGCCGCGUGAGGGAUGACGGCCUUCGGGUUGUAAACCUCUUUUCGCAGGGAAGAAGCGAAAGUGACGGUACCUGCAGAAAAAGCACCGACUAACUACGUGCCAGCCGCCGCCUAA
rnacentral:rRNA from 1 species